rnacentral:rRNA from 1 species
GUGGGGAAUCUUGCGCAAUGGGCGAAAGCCUGACGCAGCCAUGCCGCGUGAAUGAUGAAGGUCUUAGGAUUGUAAAAUUCUUUCACCGGGGACGAUAAUGACGGUACCCGGAGAAGAAGCCCCGGCUAACUUCGUGCCAGCAGCCGCGGUAAUACGAAGGGGGCUAGCGUUGCUCGGAAUUACUGGGCGUAAAGGGCGCGUAGGCGGACAGUUUAGUCAGAGGUGAAAGCCCAGGGCCCAACCUUGGAAUUGCCUUUGAUACUGGCUGUCUUGAGUACGGGAGAGGUGAGUGGAACUCCGAGUGUAGAGGUGAAAUUCGUAGAUAUUCGGAAGAACACCAGUGGCGAAGGCGACUCACUGGCCCGUUACUGACGCUGAGGCGCGAAAGCGUGGGGAGCAAACAGGAUUAGAAACCCGUGUAGUCC